GCCUCUGUAGCUCAGUGACAGAGCACUGGUCUUAUAAACCAGGGCUCGUGAGUUCAAUCCUCACAGGAGGCU
rnacentral:tRNA from 1 species